GGGUUGUAAAGUACUUUCAGCGGGGAGGAAGGUGAUAAGGUUAAUACCCUUAUCAAUUGACGUUACCCGCAGAAGAAGCACCGGCUAACUCCGUGCCAGCAGCCGCGGUAAUACGGAGGGUGCAAGCGUUAAUCGGAAUUACUGGGCGUAAAGCGCACGCAGGCGGUCAAUUAAGUCAGAUGUGAAAGCCCCGAGCUUAACUUGGGAAUUGCAUCUGAAACUGGUUGGCUAGAGUCUUGUAGAGGGGGGUAGAAUUCCACGUGUAGCGGUGAAAUGCGUAGAGAUGUGGAGGAAUACCGGUGGCGAAGGCGGCCCCCUGGACAAAGACUGACGCCUCAGGUG
rnacentral:rRNA from 1 species